rnacentral:rRNA from 1 species
GACGAACGCUGGCGGCGUGCUUAACACAUGCAAGUCGAACGGUGAAGCGCCUUCCUUUUUGGUGGGUGUGGAUGAGUGGCGAACGGGUGAGUAACACGUGAGUAACCUGCCCCCUUCUUCUGGAUAACCGCAUGAAAGUGUUGCUAAUACGGGAUAUUCUGGGUCUGUCGCAUGAUGGGUCUGGGAAAGAUAUUGUUUCGGUGGGGGAUGGGCUCGCGGCCUAUCAGCUUGUUGGUGGGGUGAUGGCCUACCAAGGCGGUGACGGGUAGCCGGCCUGAGAGGGUGGACGGUCACACUGGGACUGAGACACGGCCCAGACUCCUACGGGAGGCAGCAGUGGGGAAUAUUGCACAAUGGGCGCAAGCCUGAUGCAGCGACGCCGCGUGAGGGAUGGAGGCCUUCGGGUUGUGAACCUCUUUCGCCAGUGAAGCAGGCCUGCCUCGUUUGUGGGUGGGUUGACGGUAGCUGGAUAAGAAGCGCCGGCUAACUACGU